rnacentral:rRNA from 1 species
AACGAACGCUGGCGGCAUGCCUAACACAUGCAAGUCGAACGAGACCUUCGGGUCUGGUGGCGCACGGGGGCGUAACGCGUGGGAACAUGCGCUUGGGCUCGGGAUAACAGUUGGAAACGGCUGCUAAUCUCGGACGAUGACUUCGGACCAACGAUUUCUCGCCCAGGGAUGAGCCCGCGUCGGAUUAGCUAGUUGGUGAGGUGAGAGCUCACCAAGGCGACGAUCCGUAGCUGGUCUGAGAGGAUGAUCAGCCACACUGGGACUGAGACCCGACCCAGACUCCUGCGGGAGGCAGCGGUGGGGAAUAUUGGACCAUGGGCGUAAGCCUGAUCCAGCAAUGGCGCGUGAGUGAUGAAGGCCUUAGGGUUGUAAAGCUGUUUUACCCGGGAUGAUAAUGACAGUACCGGGAGAAUAAGCCCCGGCUAACUCCGUG